rnacentral:rRNA from 1 species
UACAGAGGGGGCAAGCGUUGUUCGGAAUUACUGGGCGUAAAGGGCGCGUAGGCGGCCUGCUAAGUCGAACGUGAAAUCCCUGGGCUCAACCCAGGAACUGCGUCCGAUACUGGUUGGCUUGAAUCCGGGAGAGGGACGUGGAAUUCCAGGUGUAGCGGUGAAAUGCGUAGAUAUCUGGAGGAACACCGGUGGCAAAGGCGACGUCCUGGACCGGCAUUGACGCUGAGGCGCGAAAGCCAGGGGAGCAAACGGG